GUGUACUUAGCUCAAUGGUUAGAGCAUCACUCAUGAAUGCUGAGGUUGUGGGUUCAACUCCCACAGCACCCA
rnacentral:tRNA from 1 species